GUUAGUUCGCGACCAUAGUCUUUACCGACCAGGGUGUGUGCGAAGGCAAUUUAUCAGUUCGUUCGCGACCAUAGUCUUUACCGACCAGGGUGUGUGCGAAGGCAGUUGAGUAGUUCGUUCGCGACCAUAGUCUUUACCGACCAGGGUGUGUGCGAAGGCAGUUCGCGCUGAAUUUCUUGGAUGUUGUUGAGUUCGUAAGCAUCAACAGUUUAAUCGUUCGUUAUAAUAUCAAAGUAUGCGCAAGUAAUCAUCCAACCCAUUCCCACCCUG
rnacentral:lncRNA from 1 species